AGGGAAAUAAUUUAAUUGGUAAAAUAUUGGUCUUCAAAAUCAAUUUUAAAGGUUCAAGUCCUUUUUUCCCUG
rnacentral:tRNA from 1 species